GGACCCGCACAAGCGGUGGAGCAUGUGGUUUAAUUCGAAGCAACGCGAAGAACCUUACCAAGUCUUGACAUCCUCCUGACAGCGUAUGUAAUGUAUGUUUCCUUCGGGACAGGAGAGACAGGUGGUGCAUGGUUGUCGUCAGCUCGUGUCGUGAGAUGUUGGGUUAAGUCCCGCAACGAGCGCAACCCUUGUCCUUAGUAGCCAGCACGUGAUGGUGGGCACUCUAGGGAGACUGCCAGGGUGAACCUGGAGGAAGGUGGGGAUGACGUCAAAUCAUCAUGCCCCUUAUGACUUGGGCUACACACGUGCUACAAUGGCGCGAACAAAGGGAAGCGACCCUGUGAAGGCGAGCAAAUCUCAAAAAAGGCGUCUCAGUUCGGAUUGUAGUCUGCAACCCGACUACAUGAAGCUGGAAUCGCUAGUAAUCGCGAAUCAGAAUGUCGCGGUGAAUACGUUCCCGGGUCUU
rnacentral:rRNA from 1 species